GGCCAAGUUUUUAAGGGCGCACGGUGGAUGCCUUGGCACCAGGAACCGAUGAAGGACGUGGGAGGCCACGAUAGUCCCCGGGGAGUCGUCAACCAGGCUUUGAUCCGGGGGUUUCCGAAUGGGGAAACCCGGCAGUCGUCAUGGGCUGUCACCCUUGCCUGAACACAUAGGGCAAGUGGAGGGAACGCGGGGAAGUGAAACAUCUCAGUACCCGCAGGAAGAGAAAACAACCGUGAUUCCGGGAGUAGUGGCGAGCGAAACUGGAUGAGGCCAAACCGUAUACGUGUGAGACCCGGCAGGGGUUGCGUAUGCGGGGUUGUGGGAUCUCUCUUCUGUUGUCUGCCGGCAACAGGACGAGUCAGAAACCGUUGAUGUAGGCGAAGGACAUGCGAAAGGUCCGGCGUAGAGGGUAAGACCCCCGUAGUCGAAACGUCAGCGGCUCGUUUGAGAGACACCCAAGUAGCACGGGGCCCGAGAAAUCCCGUGUGAAUCUGGCGGGACCACCCGCUAAGCCUAAAUAUUCCCUGGUGACCGAUAGCGGAUAGUACCGUGAGGGAAUGGUGAAAAGUACCCCGGGAGGGGAGUGAAAUAGUACCUGAAACCGUGUGCCUACAAGCCGUGGGAGCGUCGGAAGCAAGCUUGCUUGCUUCUCGUGACUGCGUGCCUUUUGAAGAAUGAGCCUGCGAGUUUGCGGUGUGUUGCGAGGUUAACCCGUGUGGGGAAGCCGUAGCGAAAGCGAGUCCGAACAGGGCGAUUCAGUAGCGCGCUCAAGACCCGAAGCGGAGUGAUCUAGCCAUGGGCAGGUUGAAGCGGAGGUAAGACUUCGUGGAGGACCGAACCCACCAGGGUUGAAAACCUGGGGGAUGACCUGUGGUUAGGGGUGAAAGGCCAAUCAAACUCCGUGAUAGCUGGUUCUCCCCGAAAUGCAUUUAGGUGCAGCGUCGUGUGUUUCUUGCCGGAGGUAGAGCACUGGAUAGGCGAUGGGCCCUACCGGGUUACUGACCUUAGCCAAACUCCGAAUGCCGGUAAGUGAGAGCGCGGCAGUGAGACUGUGGGGGAUAAGCUCCAUGGUCGAGAGGGAAACAGCCCAGAGCAUCGACUAAGGCCCCUAAGCGUACGCUAAGUGGGAAAGGAUGUGGAGUCGCAGAGACAACCAGGAGGUUGGCUUAGAAGCAGCCACCCUUGAAAGAGUGCGUAAUAGCUCACUGGUCUAGUGAUUCCGCGCCGACAAUGUAGCGGGGCUCAAGCGUACCGCCGAAGUCGUGUCAUUGCAGCAAUAAGCCCCAACGGGUGCUGUGAUGGGUAGGGGAGCGUCGUGUGCCGGGUGAAGCCGCGCCGGAAGGCAGUGGUGGACGGUUCACGAGUGAGAAUGCAGGCAUGAGUAGCGAUUCACACGUGAGAAACGUGUGCGCCGAUUGACUAAGGGUUCCUGGGUCAAGCUGAUCUGCCCAGGGUAAGUCGGGACCUAAGGCGAGGCCGACAGGCGUAGUCGAUGGAUAACCGGUUGAUAUUCCGGUACCCGCUGUGAAGCGUCAAACAUCGAACCCAUUAAUGCUAAGGCCGUGAAGCCGCCCUGGAGCCUUCGGGCAAAGGGGAGUGGUGGAGCCGCCGAACCAAGGUGGUAGUAGGUGAGUGAUGGGGUGACGCAGGAAGGUAGUCCAUCCCGGGCGGUGGUUGUCCCGGGGUAAGGGUGUAGGACGUCAGGUAGGCAAAUCCGCCUGACAUGUGUCUGAGACCUGAUGCCGAGCCGAUUGUGGUGAAGUGGAUGAUCCUAUGCUGUCGAGAAAAGCCUCUAGCGAGUUUCAUGGCGGCCCGUACCCUAAACCGACUCAGGUGGUCAGGUAGAGAAUACCGAGGCGUUCGGGUGAACUAUGGUUAAGGAACUCGGCAAAAUGCCCCCGUAACUUCGGGAGAAGGGGGGCCACGUUCGGUGAUUGGAUUUACUCCAUGAGCUGGGUGUGGCCGCAGAGACCAGCGAGAAGCGACUGUUUACUAAAAACACAGGUCCGUGCGAAGCCGUAAGGCGAUGUAUACGGACUGACGCCUGCCCGGUGCUGGAACGUUAAGGGGACCGGUUAGCUCAGAUUCGUCUGGGCGAAGCUGAGAACUUAAGCGCCAGUAAACGGCGGUGGUAACUAUAACCAUCCUAAGGUAGCGAAAUUCCUUGUCGGGUAAGUUCCGACCUGCACGAAUGGCGUAACGACUUCUCGACUGUCUCAACCAUAGGCCCGGUGAAAUUGCACUACGAGUAAAGAUGCUCGUUUCGCGCAGCAGGACGGAAAGACCCCGGGACCUUUACUACAGUUUGAUAUUGGUGUUCGGUUCGGCUUGUGUAGGAUAGCUGGGAGACUGUGAACUCUGGACGCCAGUUCAGGGGGAGUCGUCGUUGAAAUACCAGUCUGGUCGUGCUGGAUGUCUAACCUGGGUCCGUGAUCCGGAUCAGGGACAGUGUCUGAUGGGUAGUUUAACUGGGGCGGUUGCCUCCUAAAGAGUAACGGAGGCGCCCAAAGGUUCCCUCAGCCUGGUUGGCAAUCAGGUGUUGAGUGUAAGUGCACAAGGGAGCUUGACUGUGAGACCGACGGGUCGAGCAGGGACGAAAGUCGGGACUAGUGAUCCGGCGGUGGCUUGUGGAAGCGCCGUCGCUCAACGGAUAAAAGGUACCCCGGGGAUAACAGGCUGAUCUUCCCCAAGAGUCCAUAUCGACGGGAUGGUUUGGCACCUCGAUGUCGGCUCGUCGCAUCCUGGGGCUGGAGUCGGUCCCAAGGGUUGGGCUGUUCGCCCAUUAAAGCGGUACGCGAGCUGGGUUUAGAACGUCGUGAGACAGUUCGGUCCCUAUCCGCUGCGCGCGCAGGAAUAUUGAGAAGGGCUGUCCCUAGUACGAGAGGACCGGGACGGACGAACCUCUGGUGUGCCAGUUGUUCUGCCAAGGGCAUGGCUGGUUGGCUACGUUCGGGAGGGAUAACCGCUGAAAGCAUCUAAGCGGGAAGCCUGCUUCGAGAUGAGUAUUCCCACCCACUUGAUGGGGUAAGGCUCCCAGUAGACGACUGGGUUGAUAGGCCGGAUCUGGAAGCACGGUAACGUGUGGAGGUGACCGGUACUAAUAGGCCGAGGGCUUGUCCUC
rnacentral:rRNA from 1 species